UAGCAACACCUCCACCAUCCAACUAUAUGAAGAACAUAAGUUUAACCAUAGAAGGGGAAUACAAGCAGGAAAAAGAAGGAUAGACUAAACAUAAAAAGGAAGGUGGUUGAAUUCUAUUGACAGGAAAAAAAAAAGCAUAUAAUUAUAACAAGAAAGAGCAUGACACAUCCAAAUUUUCGAAACAAUUGAAGUGGUGGUCUCUCACAUGCUAAAUGACUUAUUUGGGAAAUAUAUACAACACAACAACCUUGAUUAAUUAUGCAAUAAAAUUCAAUCCAUACAACAUAAGAUGUAAGACAAUCCACACCUUUCUCCCAGCAGGCUGUUGUAG
rnacentral:misc_RNA from 1 species